UACGUAGGGUGCGAGCGUUAAUCGGAAUUACUGGGCGUAAAGGGCGCGUAGGCGGCCAUCUAAGUCAGACGUGAAAUCCCCCGGCUUAACCUGGGAACUGCGUCUGAUACUGGACGGCUUGAGUAUGGGAGAGGGAUGUAGAAUUCCAGGUGUAGCGGUGAAAUGCGUAGAUAUCUGGAGGAAUACCGGUGGCGAAGGCGGCAUGCUGGACCAUUACUGACGCUGAGGCGCGAAAGCUAGGGGAGCAAACGGG
rnacentral:rRNA from 1 species